rnacentral:rRNA from 1 species
GACGGAGGAUGCAAGUGUUAUCCGGAAUCACUGGGCGUAAAGCGUCUGUAGGUGGUUCGAAAAGUCCACUGUUAAAAAUUGAAGCUUAACUUCAAAGAUGCCGUGGAAACUUUCAAACUAGAGUGUGGUAGGGGUAGAGGGAAUUUCCAGUGGAGCGGUGAAAUGCGUAGAUAUCAGGAGGAACACCGGUGGCGAAGGCGGGUCUCUGGGCCGAUAUUGACGCUGAGGAGCGAAAGCGUGGGGAGCGAACAGG